GAUGAACGCUGACAGAAUGCUUAACACAUGCAAGUCAACUUGAACUUCGGUUUGGGUGGCGGACGGGUGAGUAACGCGUAAAGAACUUGCCUCACAGAUAGGGACAACAUUUGGAAACGAAUGCUAAUACCUGAUAUUAUGAUUAUAUGGCAUCGUAUAAUUAUGAAAGCUAUAUGCGCUGUGAGAGAGCUUUGCGUCCCAUUAGCUAGUUGGAGAGGUAACGGCUCACCAAGGCGAUGAUGGGUAGCCGGCCUGAGAGGGUGAUCGGCCACAAGGGGACUGAGACACGGCCCUUACGCCUACGGGAGGCAGCAGUGGGGAAUAUUGGACAAUGGGCCAAGAGUCUGAUCCAGCAAUUCUGUGUGCACGAUGAAGUUUUUCGGAAUGUAAAGUGCUUUCAGUUGGGAAGAAAAAAAUGACGGUACCAACAGAAGAAGUGACGGCUAAAUACGUG
rnacentral:rRNA from 1 species